rnacentral:rRNA from 1 species
GUGCCUACGGGACGCAGCAGUGGGGAAUAUUGGACAAUGGGGGAAACCCUGAUCCAGCGACGCCGCGUGAGUGAAGAAGUAUUUCGGUACGUAAAGCUCUAUCAGCAGGAAAGAAAAUGACGGUACCUGACUAAGAAGCCCCGGCUAACUACGUGCCAGCAGCCGCGGUAAUACGUAGGGAGCGAGCGUUAUCCGGAUUUAUUGGGUGUAAAGGGUGCGUAGACGGGAAAAUAAGUUAGUUGUGAAAUCCCUCGGCUCUACUGAGGAACUGCAACUAAAACUCUUUUUCUUGAGUGCAGGAGAGG